rnacentral:rRNA from 1 species
AUUGAACGCUGGCGGCAGGCCUAACACAUGCAAGUCGAACGGUAACAGGAAACAUCUUGCUGUUUCGCUGACGGGUGGCGGGCGGGAGAGUUAUGUCUGGGACACUGCCUGAUGGAGGACGAUAACUACUGGAAACGGUAGCUACAACCGCAUAACGUCGCAAGACCAGAGAUGUUCACCUUCGGGCCUCUUGCCAUCGCCUAGGCCCAGAUCGGAUUAGCUAGUGGGUGGGGUAACGGCUCACCUAGGCGACGAUCCCUACCUGGUCUGAGAGGAUGACCAGCCACACUGGAACUGAGACACGGUCCAGACUCCUACGGGAGGCAGCAGUGGGGAAUAUUGGACAAUGGGCGCAAGCCUGAUGCAGCCAUGCCGCGUGUAUGAAGAAGGCCUUCGGGUUGUAAAGUACUUUCAGCUGGGAGGAAGGGAGUAAAGUUAAUACCUUGACUCAUUGACGUUACCCGCAGAAGAAGCACCGGCUAACUCCGUG